GCGUUGUCCGGAUUUAUUGGGCGUAAAGAGCUCGUAGGCGGCCGUCCACGUCGGAUGUGAAAGCUCGGGGCUCAACCCUGAGAGGCCAUUCGAUACGGGACGGCUAGAGGCAGGUAGGGGAAAGUGGAACUCCUGGUGUAGCGGUGAAAUGCGCAGAUAUCAGGAAGAACACCGGUGGCGAAGGCGGCUUUCUGGGCCUUGCCUGACGCUGAGGAGCGAAAGCUGG
rnacentral:rRNA from 1 species